UACGGGGGGUGCGAGCGUUGUCCGGAAUCACUGGGCGUAAAGGGCGCGUAGGCGGUUUGGACAGUCAGAUGUGAAAUUCCUGGGCUCAACCCGGGGGCUGCAUUUGAUACGUUCGGACUAGAGUGGGGAAGAGGGUCGUGGAAUUCCCAGUGUAGAGGUGAAAUUCGUAGAUAUUGGGAAGAACACCGGUGGCGAAGGCGGCGACCUGGUCCUUGACUGACGCUGAGGCGCGAAAGCGUGGGGAGCAAACAGG
rnacentral:rRNA from 1 species